UACCCGACUGCGCCAGAAGGAGGGUUAUGUUUUUCGAGAGUAUGUAUGUAUGUAUGUAUGUAUGUAUGUAUGUAUGUAUGUAUGUAUGUAUGUAUGUAUAAUUGUUUGGCACGCUCUGCAGCCUAAACGGCUUGAUGGAUUUUGACUUGAGAGGUGUCGUUAGAUUCGUAUUUACUGUGAGAGUGACACUGGAUAUAUCAAAAUUAAAAAAAAACAAAAUGGCGGAUUUUUGGCGCCAAAUUCGAAUAUUUCUCACUCUCUAGCCUAAACGGCUUGACGGAUUUUGACUUGAGAGGUGUCGUUAGAUUCGUAUUUACUGUGAGAGUGA